GCUGGCGUAGCUCAGCAGGUAGAGCAGCGACCUCGUAAGCCGCAGGUCCGGGGUUCGAGUCCCCGCGCCAGCUCCA
rnacentral:tRNA from 1 species